UGUUUUUUUUUUUUAUAUUUUGAAAGCAUCCCAACCCACGAAAGGAAAACCCUUCUAGAAACGUCUUCUACCUCCAUAUGCAAAUCUAGAUUUGGAGAUUAAGCUUCCCUGCAAUUCUCUCUCUCUCUCUCUCUCUCUCUCUCUCUCCAUAUGUAAAUUCAGAUUUGAAGAGUAAGCUUCCCUAAUCUCACAUACACGAAAAUCAAAGAAAACUCUCUAGAAACCGUACCAGUAGUUUUUCAUGCCUACUUAAAUUAUCCCAUCGACAUCGGUAAUCAACCACAAAAUCGUCAUCAUUGUGCUAGCACCCGUCGCCCUGCAUAGUCAUCUUUGCAUCUACGGUUCUUCCAGAACCCCCAAACGAGCAGUUCUAUUGGGUAAGAAUUCGAUUAUUUCCAUCUACCAUUGAAGGUAUCAAACCUAAAUUUCUCAUUUUUAUUCAAUUCACUAACAUUAUCUUGAAAUUACAGUAAAUUUGUCUCUUUUUUGGGUGUUGGAGUGGCCGUCUAUUUAGUCUCUUUAAUCUAAUGGCUAUGCAUAUUGAAUUAGAUUGGAUGGAAAAAUAAGAAGUAUCUGAUAUAUGUGUUGUUGGUUGCAAGAAAGGUAGUAUAUUUAUUCCUUUUAGAGCAUUUUUUUGUCGUCUAUUGCAUAUUGGAUUGAGAUUUGGAGCUUUUCUUAUGCUAAAAGAACUAUUAAGUUAUGGUCAUUUAUACUUGUUUUGGUGUAUGCAUAUAGAAAAUUAUAAAGGGUUUGACAAGAAGUUAACUUUGUUUAUGAUCAUCUAUAGUUGUUUUACCAUAAUUUCCAAGGGCAAACACAAUGAGAUGUGAAACACAGAGAGGCGGGCAAUGAAUAUAGAGAAGCACUAACAAACUAUGGCUGAACAAGGUUUGGCUUUUACAUAUAUUUCUUUAUUCUUUAGUUAUUUGUCUAUUGUUGGAUAUUGGCUGCAUUCUUUUUUGAAUUUUUGUUUGAUGAUUUUUGGCGUUGUGUCUGUGUUGGCUCUGUCGAGCAGCAAGCUACUGAGAGCUUGAAACCAUACAAUAGGUGAUCUAUAAUUUUAUAUAAUAGUAAAGAAAUCUAUUUAUUUUGAUAAUGCUUGUAGAUGUCCUAGCUUUUGCAUUCUUCUUGAGUAAGCGGACAACCUAAGGACUGCCACCCAGCUGCUCGACCAAAAGGACAGGCACGACGACUCAACGACCAAAACUCGCUGGCCAAAAACAUCUCGACACCAACAAGAUAAGCGCGAGCUAUCUUUUAUCGCGGAGCUACCAGCAGGACCCGACCACACCAACCCCAGUUCUGAGUGCACCCAAAAACUGUAAAAGAGGCGGUGUGACACACUAAAAACGCACCAAUCCGCCAAAUACCCAACAAGCAAACCAUCGAGCCGGAAAAACAGCAACAAUUCCCCAGCAUAAACCAAACCGAAACUGAUCAAAAUCGCAGCAAUGAACAUAGAGCAAACAAAACCAAAGAAGCACCGAUUAAACAAUACGUACAUGCAUUAGAAAAUAAAAAGCUAUCAUAUUUAGAAACCAAAAAUAAUUUUGAACUAAUUUAAUCUUGUA
rnacentral:lncRNA from 1 species